rnacentral:rRNA from 1 species
UACGGAGGGGGCUAGCGUUGUUCGGAAUUACUGGGCGUAAAGGCGCGACGUAGGCGGCUUUGUAAGUUAGAGGUGAAAGCCCAGGGCUUAACCCUGGAAUUGCCUUUGAAGACUCGCAUCGCUAGUAAUCGUGGAGAGGUGAGUGGAAUUCCGAGUGUAGGAGGUAGUAAAUUCGUAGAUAUUCGGAAGAACACCAGUGGCGAAGG